GCCCAGGUGCUGGAAUUGGUAGACAGGUGGCGUUCAGGGCGCCAUGCCCGUCAGGGCGUGAGGGUUCGAGUCCCUCCCUGGGCA
rnacentral:tRNA from 1 species